CUUGCCUAGGUAGGUAGGGAUCGCCCCGCCCCGCCCCCAACCGGCGGCGCCGCGCAUAUUUCGCCUCGGCGGAGAGUUCGACUUGGAAAGCGACGUUAUGUGAGAGGGUGGUCUGAUGGAGGGUUGGGUUCCUCUUCUCGGCGUUUAGACGGUGCUGAGGCGGCAGAGGGUCGGGGCGGCGGGUGCGUAGGCGGAGGAGGGAGGGGGCGGCCGGAGGAGCAGAGCGCUCGCGGCGGCCAAGAAGCGCCUCCUUCCCUUCCCUAGAUGAGGUGGCGGCCCCGACGGCGGCGCCAGGGCAAGCGCAGCGCUCGGCGGCCCUAGACAUGGACCUAAAGUCGUUCCUCCUUUGUAGAAUCCCUUACGUCUUUCUACACAAACGUACGAUCUCUCGAUGGAACGCUCCCUUAGCCGUCCCAUCGGCGGGGACAAAGACGAAACUAACUGGAACUACUGUGGCGAAGUGUCGUCGUGUGUUGUGUGGAGAAGAAGGUACACGAAGACGUGUUACCCCAAGCUGCACCGUAGAGUUGGUAGUAGAAUCUAAUGGUGGAGCCUCCCCUGCCAACUCCAGUAUAUGGUGGGCGUCCGAGGGAAACUUCCAGGCCCUAGCGACGACGACAAGACACACGUAUCGUAUGUAGACGGACGGUAGUACCCUCUCGUCUUCCCCUUAUAAGACUACCCCUUCAUGCUCUACCCCUUCUACGAGCCCGUUCCCUGGAAACGGUUCCAGAUGGUACGGGCAUUGUAGCUCUGGAGCGUCUCACAACGGUAGUUCCACUGGCUGUUCCUCUUCCAAGACUUCCCGCCCGAGUGCCUAGUCUAGUUCGCGCUCUAUAGACACUACUUCGACCACUUCGUGGGUUUGUAACAAGUCUACAUACUCCAGUACCGUUGGUUUUGUUUCUAAAUAAAACACAACCUCGUACACUUCCCACCUCUCGACAAGUUGUUCCAAGUCUCCCCUUCCGAGUUCCUUCUACGACGUUCCUUCAUGAAGGUCGUCGACUAGACGCGCCAACUGAAAACAGUGUCGUCCCCACAGAUAGUGGCACUAAACUUCGGCCUCUUGGAAGAAGAACUACUCUUGUCAUUGGACUUUCAAAGUCUGAAGCCAGACUCAUGGUAAAGACUCACGUCUUCUGAACUGCCCAACGAGGUGUGUAGGACGCCGUGCGGACGAAUACAACGGGGACUUCACUAGUUAUCCUUUCCGAUACUGCCGCGAUUCCGACUGUAGACCAGAACACCCCACUAGGAGAAACACGAAAACCGACCCAUAGAGGGUAAGGUUCUAUUUUUAGACUACUUAUACAUAUUCUUCUAACCCUUUCGUCUCAAGUUUACGGGCUCAACCAAGAGAAGUCUAUAAGCUUCCGAAGACGAUUCCUAAGAACUAGGUUUGGGGUCGUGUUCCUAGAGCUAACUCUCUUAGUACCUUGUAGGAACCAAGUCCUUCCCAGAUCUACGUUUUGACGAGUCUAUGUUAAAUGUUCGUUUUCUACGGCAAGGACGACGACUGUACCGACGCUGAAGACUAAGGAACUCGACGUCGUUGAGUCGUUGUCUCCCGUUCCUUGUUCUUCGUUUUUUCGAGCGGUUGAACUUACGAAAGCUAUAUUAGAGGGAGAGUUGGCCUGAGCUGGAGAGACCAUACAAACUCCUGUUACUGUUCUUCUCCCUCAGGUUCAAGUGUAGGUGGUUGAGCCGAAGCUGCUAGCACAGUUUCUAGCUCCUGUAGCGUUUCACGUACGCUGACUUCGAGCAGUUCUUUCUACCACCGUACAACUCCUACCUUUCGAAGUUCCGACCUUCCUUUCCACACUACAGGUAACUACGACUCUAUAAGCUCCAGUGGGGACUGAAGGUAGAGCACCUCAACUUCUUCUGUUUGCCACUAUGAGACCUCAUGGUCUUCCAGAACUUGGUCCUCUACUCCGGCCGCGACUUCCUGUAUCAGACCCGCACCGUUCCGCUCGUCGUCGGCGUCGGCGUCGUCGUUGGUACAACUCUUCUUGACACGGUUCACGAUGUAAGUAAAAUGUUGAACUCCGUUAAUGGUCCGCAGGCACACAAAGACAUUAAAAAUAAUAGCAUUCAAACAAUAAGCAAAGGUAAGGGGAUCACUACAGACACAUUUGAAGUCAAUAGUAGAAAACUACUUCUAAAUAAACUUUCGUACCACAGAAGUCUUGUCUACGGUUCAGAAACAGGUUUUCCGAGAGGUUCCCGUCACGCAAACACAUACCC
rnacentral:rRNA from 1 species